UAACCUGCUAACUAGUCGUUGGAAUGCGCAGCAUUGCAGGGACUUCUUAGAGGGACUAUUGGCGUUUUUAGUCGAUGGAAGUUUGAGGCAAUAACAGGUCUGUGAUGCCCUUAGAUGUUCUGGGCCGCACGCGUGCUACACUGAUAAAGGACAGCGAGUUAUGAGGGGGCCUUUGGGUUCCUGGCCUUGGUCGGAAGACCUGGGUAAUCUUUUGAAACUUUAUCGUGCUGGGGAUAGAGCAUUGUAAUUAUUGCUCUUGAACGAGGAAUUCCUAGUAAGUGCGAGUCAUCAGCUCGCGUUGAUUACGUCCCUGCCCUUUGUACACACCGCCCGUCGCUACUACCGAUUGAAUGGCUUAGUGAGGCCUCUCCAUCUGGCCUGUGUGCCCGCGAGGGGAUGUGGGUUGGAGAAAUUGGU
rnacentral:rRNA from 1 species